rnacentral:rRNA from 1 species
AUACGUAGGUGACAAGCGUUAUCCGGAUUUAUUGGGUUUAAAGGGUGCGUAGGCGGGCUGUUAAGCGUGAGGUGAAAGCUCGGGGCUCAACCCCGGAACUGCCUCGCGAACUGGCGGUCUUGAAUGUCCGUGCCGUGGGAGGAAUGGGUGGUGUAGCGGUGAGAUGCAUAGAUAUCACGAAGAACUCCGAUCGCGAAGGCAGCCUUCCGGCCCGUCAACGACGCUCAUGCUCGAAGGUGCGGGUAUCAAACAGGAGUAGAUACCCUGGUAGUCCGCACAGUAAACGAUGGACACCCGCGGUUUGGCCUAUAUGGCUGAGCCGCCAAGCGAAAGCGUUAAGUGUCCCACCUGGGGAGUACGCCGGCAACGGUGAAACUCAAAUGAAUUGACGGGG